rnacentral:rRNA from 1 species
UACGUAGGGAGCAAGCGUUGUCCGGAAUCAUUGGGCGUAAAGCGCGCGUAGGCGGCCCUGUAAGUCCGUUGUGAAAGUCAAAGGCUCAACCUUUGAAAGCCGAUGGAUACUGCAGGGCUAGAGUCCGGAAGAGGCGAGUGGAAUUCCUGGUGUAGCGGUGAAAUGCGCAGAUAUCAGGAGGAACACCAGUGGCGAAGGCGGCUCACUGGCCCGAUACUGACGCUGAGGCACGAAAGCGUGGGGAGCAAACAGG